AGACAUCUUGCAAUAGGAAUAGGAGAGAAGGAGGGCAAAAAAAAAAAAAAAAGAAAAGUGGUUAAAUGCAAGGACAGAAUGGGAAAAAAUAAAACCAUAUUCCUAGCCAUCCAGACAGCAUUCUUCUCUGACAUGUUUGUGAUACGGAGCUCAGCCAAGAAAAGUCCAUGAUGGGAAGCCAGGUGGACCCUAAUGAUGCCAGCUUUGUGGGCCAAGGGAGAGAAUAACAAGGAAAGAUUGAUGACCUUCAACCAGUCUGAAACCAGGAAUAGUUGAAAUUCAUUUCUUCAAGCAAAGUUAUUUAUUGAGCACCUGCUAUGUGCCCUUACAGAUCUAGCUGCUCUUCUUCAGAUGUCUUUGUCUUAUGUCCAUUAUUCCAGAGAUGUAUGAUCUGAUGUUACAAGUAUAAGAAGGAACGGGAAGGUGAUACUGAGCUCCGGUGCUGUGCCCAACCUGGGCCAAGUGCCUUACCAACUGGAUCCGUUAACCCUCGUUAACAACCUGGGAGUAAAGAACACCCCUACGUUCAGGAGAAAUUUCAAGGUCAUGGAGUCUGUAAGUGAAGAGAUUGCCAUGUGGCCAUUUAGCUCAGGGUUUCUUAAACUUGGCUGCAUU